AGAGUUGUAGACAGUGGUUCCGGCUUCCAUAACUCCGGAGUAAACACGGGUGAAAGUAAGAGUUCCGACGAAAGGAUCGUUGGCAACCUUGAAGGCCAAAGCAGAAAGAGGCUCGGCAUCAGAAGAGUUACGGACAGUAUCUUCUCCAUCAUCGGUGACACCAGCAAUAGCCUCAACGUCCAAGGGGGAAGGCAUGAAAUCAAUCACAGCAUCCAAAAGA
rnacentral:sRNA from 14 species